rnacentral:tRNA from 1 species
GUCUCCGUGGCCUAAUGGACAAGGCACUGGCCUCCGGAGCCAGCAAUCUGGGUUCGAAUCCCAGCGGAGAUA